rnacentral:siRNA from 1 species
UCUGAACUGUUGCAAAAACUAUU